rnacentral:tRNA from 1 species
GUGUGUAUAGCUCAGUGGUAGAGCAUGUGCUUAGCAUAUGCGAGGUCCUGAGUUCAAUUCCCAUUACCUACA